rnacentral:rRNA from 1 species
AACGAACGCCAGCGGCGUGGAUUAGGCAUGCAAGUCGAACGUGAUCCGUAGCAAUACGGUGAAAGUGGCGGAAGGGUGAGUAAUGCAUAGAUAACCUACCUCCGAGCCUGGGAUAACUCUGGGAAACUGGAGCUAAUACUGGAUGGGGUAGCGGGGUCACCUGGCCCUGAAACUAAUGGCAGCCUCUGAACAUGCUGUCACUCGGAGAGGGAUCUAUGCCUAUCAGCUAGUUGGUGAGGGUAACGGCCCACCAAGGCAUUGACGGGUAGCCGGCCUUAGCGGGUGUCCGGCCACAUUGGGACUGAGACACUGCCCAAACUCCUACGGGAGGCUGCAGUCGAGGAUCUUCCGCAAUGGGCGAAAGCCUGACGGAGCGACGCCGCGUGUGGGAUGAAGGCC